rnacentral:rRNA from 1 species
CAGCCGCCGCGGGAACACCGGCAGCCCGAGUGAUGGCCGCUAUUAUUGGGCCUAAAGCGCUCGUAGCCGGGCCGGUAAGUCCCUUGUGAAAUCGGACGGCCUAACCGUUCGGCGUGCAAGGGAUACUGUCGGUCUUGAGGCCGGGAGACGUCCGAGGUACUCCGGGGGUAGCGGUGAAAUGUUCUGAUCCUCGGGGGACCACCGGUGGCGAAGGCGUUCGACGAGAACGGGCCUGACGGUGAGGGGCGAAGGCUAGGGGAGCAAACGGGAUUAGAUACCCCUGUAGUCCCUGUCUCUUAUU